rnacentral:rRNA from 1 species
UACGGAGGGGGCUAGCGUUGUUCGGAAUUACUGGGCGUAAAGGGCGCGUAGGCGGCGCGAGCAGUCGGCGGUGAAAGCCCGGAGCUCAACUCCGGGUCGGCCGUCGAUACUCUCGUGCUUGAGCACUGUAGAGGCAGGUGGAAUUCCGGGUGUAGCGGUGGAAUGCGUAGAGAUCCGGAAGAACACCGGUGGCGAAGGCGGCCUGCUGGGCAGUAGCUGACGCUGAUGCGCGACAGCGUGGGGAGCAAACAGG